AACGAACGCUGGCGGCAUGCCUAACACAUGCAAGUCGAACGAGACCUUCGGGUCUAGUGGCGCACGGGUGCGUAACGCGUGGGAACCUGCCCUUAGGUUCGGAAUAACUCCCCGAAAGGGGUGCUAAUACCGGAUAAUGUCUUCGGACCAAAGAUUUAUCGCCUUUGGAUGGGCCCGCGUUGGAUUAGCUAGUUGGUAGGGUAAAAGCCUACCAAGGCGACGAUCCAUAGCUGGUCUGAGAGGAUGAUCAGCCACACUGGGACUGAGACACGGCCGAGACUCCUACGGGAGGCAGCAGUGGGGAAUAUUGGACAAUGGGCGAAAGCCUGAUCCAGCAAUGCCGCGUGAGUGAUGAAGGCCUUAGGGUUGUAAAGCUCUUUUACCCGGGAUGAUAAUGACAGUACCGGGAGAAUAAGCUCCGGCUAACUCCGUG
rnacentral:rRNA from 1 species